rnacentral:rRNA from 1 species
ACGAGUUUGAUCAUGGCUCAGAUUGAACGCUGGCGGCAUGCUUUACACAUGCAAGUCGAACGGUAACAGGCCUUCGGGUGCUGACGAGUGGCGAACGGGUGAGUAAUGCAUCGGAACGUGCCCAAGUCGGGGGGAUAACCGUAGCGAAAGUUACGCUAAUACCGCAUAAGCCCUGAGGGGGAAAGCAGGGGAUCGCAAGACCUUGCGCGAAUGGAGCGGCCGAUGUCAGAUUAGCUAGUUGGUGGGGUAAAGGCCUACCAAGGCGACGAUCUGUAGCGGGUCUGAGAGGAUGAUCCGCCACACUGGGACUGAGACACGGCCCAGACUCCUACGGGAGGCAGCAGUGGGGAAUUUUGGACAAUGGGCGCAAGCCUGAUCCAGCCAUGCCCGCGUGCGGGACGAAGGCCUUCGGGUUGUAAACCGCUUUCAGCCGGAAAGAAAUCGCCCAAGGCUAAUAUCCUUGGUGGAUGACGGUACCGGAAGAAGAAGCACCGGCUAACUACGUG